rnacentral:rRNA from 1 species
UCUGGCCCCUUUGGGGUCCGAGUUGUAAUUUGCAGAGGAUGCUUCGGGUGCGGUCCCCGUCUAAGUGCCCUGGAACGGGCCGUCAUAGAGGGUGAGAAUCCCGUCUGGGAUGGGCGGCCGCGCCCGUGUGAAGCUCCUUCGACGAGUCGAGUUGUUUGGGAAUGCAGCUCUAAGCGGGUGGUAAAUUUCAUCUAAAGCUAAAUACUGGCCGGAGACCGAUAGCGCACAAGUAGAGUGAUCGAAAGAUGAAAAGCACUUUGAAAAGAGAGUUAAACAGCACGUGAAAUUGUUGAAAGGGAAGCGUUGUCCACCAGACUCGCCCGGGGGGGUUCAGCCGGCACGUGUGCCGGUGUACUCCUCUCCGGGCGGGCCAGCAUCGGUUUGGGCGGCUGGUGAAAGGCCCCGGGAAUGUAACACCCUUCGGGGUGCCUUAUAGCCCGGGGUGCCAUACAGCCAGCCUGGACCGAGGCCCG